UCCCAGGUGUCUCAGUGGUAAAGAAUUUGCCUGCCAAGCAGGAGACUCAGGUUCAAACCCUGGCUGGAUAA
rfam:Ovis aries breed Texel chromosome 6, whole genome shotgun sequence.